GGGUGCUUGAGGCUAUCUGUCUCAGGCAUGAACACUGAAAGGCAGAUAGAGAAAAGCCCCAGUUAACAUUACGCGUCCGGCAAGACGCUUAACAUUAAUCUGAGGCUCAAUCUAUGAACGGCAAAUCUAGGUUAGCCUCUUACGCGCCGAAAGGCAAGGAGAAGCAGGCUAUGAAG
rnacentral:antisense_RNA from 1 species